AUUGAACGCUGGCGGCAGGCCUAACACAUGCAAGUCGAGCGGAGCGCGGGACGGGGGAGUAAUGCCUAGGAAUCUGCCUGGUCGUGGGGGAUAACGUCCGGUAACGGGCGCUGAUACCGCAUACUAUCAGAUGAGCCUAGGUCGGAUUAGCUAGUUGGUGGGGUAAAGGCCUACCAAGGCGACGAUCCGUAACUGGUCUGAGAGGAGGAUCAGCCACACUGGGACGGAGACACGGCCCAGACUCCUACGGGAGGCAGCAGUGGGGAAUAUUGCACAAUGGGCGAAAGCCUGAUGCAGCCAUGCCGCGUGUAUGAAGAAGGCCUUCGGGUUGUAAAGUACUUUCAGUCGGGAGGCGUUACCUGCAGAAGAAGCACCGGCUAACUCCGUGCCAGCAGCCGCGGUAAUAC
rnacentral:rRNA from 1 species